rnacentral:rRNA from 1 species
GACGAACGCUGGCGGCGUGCUUAACACAUGCAGGUCGAACGGAAAGGCCCUGCUUUUGUGGGGUGCUCGAGUGGCGAACGGGUGAGUAACACGUGAGUAACCUGCCCUUGACUUUGGGAUAACUUCAGGAAACUGGGGCUAAUACCGGAUAGGAGCUCCUGCUGCAUGGUGGGGGUUGGAAAGUUUCGGCGGUUGGGGAUGGACUCGCGGCUUAUCAGCUUGUUGGUGGGGUAGUGGCUUACCAAGGCUUUGACGGGUAGCCGGCCUGAGAGGGUGACCGGCCACAUUGGGACUGAGAUACGGCCCAGACUCCUACGGGAGGCAGCAGUGGGGAAUAUUGCACAAUGGGCGGAAGCCUGAUGCAGCAACGCCGCGUGCGGGAUGACGGCCUUCGGGUUAUAAACCGCUUUCGCCUGUGACGAAGCGUGAGUGACGGUAAUGGGUAAAGAAGCACCGGCUAACUACGUG